ACCAAGGAGUCUAACAUGUGCGCGAGCCGCGGGGCAGUACGAAACCCGUAAGGCGAAAUGAAGGUGAACGCCGGCGCGGUCCGGCGGAGGUUGGAUCCCGUCCCGUCGGGGCGGGCGCACUACCGGCCGAUCUUCUCCGCCCUGUCGGCGAGGUCGAGCGAGAGCGUGCAAGUCGGGACCCGAAAGAUGGUGAACUAUGCCUGAGGAGGUUGAAGCCAGAGGAAACUCUGGUGGAGGACCGUAGCGAUUCUGACGUGCAAAUCGAUCGUCAAAUUUGGGUAUAGGGGCGAAAGACUAAU
rnacentral:ncRNA from 1 species